UAAAACCUAAGCGAGACUUUUAUUUUUCUCGAAACCUCUUGCUGCCAAUUUGAUCAGACCCCUUUUUCCCUAUUUCUUAAAAUGUAAGCGGGAUUUUAAUUUUUCACUAAACCCUUGCUCCCAACUUUCAUCAGACCCACUCCAAAAUAUCUCUUCCUAUUUUCCCCCAAAUCUCAACCCUCAAUUUUCACUUCAGUUUCGUCCAGAUCUUUCGUCCAGAGCUUUCGUCCAGUGCUUUCGUUCCAUUGUGCUCGUCAGCUAGGUUGAGCAAAGUGUGGUCGCCCGCCAGUUCAGCAAAGUGUGGUCGCCAGCCAGGUUCAGCAAAGUGUGGUCGUCGUGCGCAACCCAACUCGCGGCCAGGUUUAAUUCUUCAACCUGGUAGUUCACAGAUUCAAACGUGCUUAUUAAUAAGCUGNUGUUAUAACUAAACUUGGGAGGCAUUGUGUUAUUACUGUGUUACUGAGUUGUUCUACUAUUUGGCUGCCAUCAAACUUUGGAAUCUCAUAGUUCUCAAGGAAUAAUUUUGAAUGGAUAAAUCUUGACAACAAAAGUACAAUAGUUUAGAAUGAGUGGCAACAAAAGUACAACAAUUUAGAAUCAGUGGCAACAAAAGUACAACAAUUUAGAAUCAGCGCUUAAAGCAUACAUGAUAAUGAAGGAAGGAAAGAUUCAUGAUGAGUUUACCUCAUUCUUUGAUUCUCAACUUCAAAAAGGUGGUGAUGCAAAUGAGCCCAAGUCUUCUUUAGGUGGUACAAUAGGAUCAUCUGGUGCUAGAAACAUUUAGGAAGUUUAUGAUGUCUUUUAGGAUGAAACUAUAUUUAGCCUAUGGAUUUUGAGUAAUUGAGUUUAGCUGUAAUUAUGAUUCAAUUUAACUUACUUUUAUAUACUAUGGUGUUUUUGAGAA